rnacentral:lncRNA from 1 species
CUUUUCAUUCCCGUUGUUAUGGAGGGCCACAUCUGCCAGAGCCUGGAGUCUGCGAAGGCCGGGACCCGGUUCCCCGGCCCACAGUGGGGGUGUGCAAACCCGAGAGAACUGGAUUGCGUACCCACUGCAGAGUGCUGAAGACGGGGUAGCCACGAGGUUGCAAAUUCGUGAAGAAUCAGCAUCAUGUUUGGCAGCUGAGUAUUGGAGCCAGGAGCCUGCCAUGAGGUUAUAUUCCCAGAGGAUGUCAGUCCCAAGGACCAGUAGCUGCCAUCAGUUUGGAUUCUGAAAACUAACUGGCAUCAACACUGGGUGUAGAAACAUGCUUGCCUUAUGUAUCAGAGGACAUGCUCAGCAGAUCCAAGAGAUAUAUUUGGCAACUUUUUCUAGAAAAGGCACAUUGGGUAUCAUUCAUUACAUUCUUGAGUUUUUUUGGGUUUUUUUUUUUUUUUUUGAGACAGUCUUGCUGUAUUGCCCAGGCUGGAGUGUGGUGGCACAAUCACAGCUCAUUGCAUCCUCAAUCACCCAGGCCUAAGCAAUCCUCCCACCUUGUAGCUGGGACUACAGCUCACAGCACACCUGGCUAAAAUUUUUUUUUUGUUGAGACGGAUUCUCUAUGUUGCCCAGGCUGGUCUCAGGCUCCUGGGCUCAGAUGGUCCUCCUGCCUCAGCUUCCAAAGGCACAGGCCAAGUUGUAGCUUUGUCCCUUGCCAUCAUGCCCAACAAGAGGUUCUAUACCUUUUAAUGAAUUGACUUUCAUAAAUUGGUUAUGUUGGUGGGCAAAGUUCUUUAAGCUGGAAAUUGUAAAUUCCUCCUGAAAUGUUUUUUCAUGCAGUUACCAUGAACUAAUACUACAAUAAAGGAUGGUCUUGGGUGUCAA